rnacentral:misc_RNA from 1 species
GAUGAAGAACGUAGCGAAAUGCGAUAAGUAGUGUGAAUUGCAGAAUUCAGUGAAUCAUCGAAUCUUUGAACGCACAUUGCGCCCCUUGGUAUUCCAUGGGGCAUGCCUGUUCGAGCGUCAUUUGUACCUUCAAGCUUUGCUUGGUGUUGGGUGUUUGUCUCGCCUUUGCGUGUAGACUCGCCUUAAAAUAAUUGGCAGCCGGCGUAUUGAUUUCGGAGCGCAGUACAUCUCGCGCUUUGCACUCCUAACGACAGCGUCCAAAAGUACAUUUUACACUCUUGACCUCGGAUCAGGUAGGGAUACCCGCUGAACUUAAGCAUAUCAAUAAGCGGAGGA